GUGUGCUCAGUCGGGCACCAUGGGGAAGCGCGACAAUAGAGUGGCCUAUACGAACCCAAUAGCAAAGGCCAGAUCAAGGGGUCCAAUCCAGUCCUCAGGGCCAACAAUCCAGGAUUAUCUGAAUCGACUAAGGCCUACCUGGGAAGAAGUAAAAGAGCAACUCGAAAAGAAAAAGAAAGGUUCCAAGGCUUUGGCUGAAUUUGAAGAAAAAAUGAAUGAGAGCUGGAAGAAAGAACUAGAAAAACACAGGGAGAAAUUGUUAAGUGGAAGUGAGAGCUCAUCCAAAAAGAGACAGAGAAAGAAAAAAGAAAAGAAGAAAUCUGGUAGGUAUUCAUCUUCUUCUUCAUCAAGCUCUGAUUCUUCCAGCAGUUCUUCAGAUUCUGAAAAUGAGGAUAAGAAACAAGGAAAAUGGAGAAAGAAAAAGAAGACCCGUUCACAUAAAUCUUCUGAAAGUUCCAUUUCGGCAACUGAAUCAGACAGUAAAGAUAGUUUAACAAAGAAAAAGAAGUCAAAGGAAACAAUUGAGAAAGAAAAGGACGUUAAAGGACCCACCAAGAAAAGGAAGAUGUGUCCUGAAGAUAAACCUUUAUCAUCUGAAUCCUUAUCAGAAUCAGAUUAUAUUGAGGAAAUACGAGCAAAAAAGAAGAAAAGCAGUGAAGAAAGAGAAAAAGCAACAGAAAAAACAAAAAAGAAAAAGAAACAUAAGAAACACAGAAGAAGAAAAAGAAGGCUGCAAGUUCAAGUUCUGACUCGCCCUAA